CGUGUUCUUCUUUUCUUUUUCAUUCGGGUGGGGCACUUGGGAUGGAGGGCGUUUAGUAGGGCUGGAGCCCAGGGAGGGCACGCGGCGGGAGCGAAGGCGGUGCUUGGCCGGAGGAAGGUCGCGCGGAGGCGGGUCGGAGAGGGGCUCGCGCAACGGCGGGCCGGAGGAGGGGCUCGCGCGGCGGCGGGCCGGAGGAGGGGUGGCGCGACGGCGGCCCGGAGGAGGGGUGGCGCGACGGCGGCCCGGAGGAGGUUCGCGCGGAUGUCGGCCGGAGAGGGGGUGGCGCGGCGGCGGUCCGGAAGAGGGUUGGUGCGGCGCGACCGGCCGGAAGAGGGGCUCGCGCGGCGGAGGGCCGGAAGAGGGGUAGCGGUCUGUAUAGUUCAAGAAACCAACACGCACAUGAUUGGUCUUCAGAUGGGGUCAACUCGUUUUUUUAUAAAGCAAUCGUCAAGUAUGGUUUUUUCCAAGUCUGCAGAGUUCGGCGAUUCCGGAUGUAGAGGGACGGUUACCAACUGUCGGCCACGGUUGUACCGACACCACUCAAGCAACCGGAUCAGGGAUACGAGGCUACUCCAGUUCGGGUAACAGUAUAAACAGCGGCGUUGAAGUCUAACGACGGCGGUUCCCUGCCACCGUACUUCGUCAACUCAUCCACACGCACCACUCGUCGAUGACUUGAAGAAGUCUGUGAUGUUUUAUAUCAGGGUGUGUCGGAGAGUUGUGGUGAAGAACUUGGACGAACUUGGAAGUACCGGGUCCGGCAAAUGACGGAGGUGUGUUCCGGCAAGCUACUACGUUGCGAGUUCGACUAGUGGGAACGGUCGUGGGAUCUGAGGGUACUUUAUAGAUCAGUUUUUUUACCAACUAGCAUUCACGUUCAUGUGAUGUGUGCGACUCGACGUUGCCCUGUGCCACUGUAGUGAAGAAAACCCAACAAAAGACAUACUUAGACGUAAAAACAAUAAUUUAAGUCAUGUUGCUUUGUGUACUUAGGGGUCGCCCAUGGUUUAAUAACUAAGGAAUUUUGUUAAUUAUCUAAAGUGGUAACCAACCAGAUGAACACAUUUAGACAGUCAAGUACUGUUCAUUGAAGACUACGAUCUUUACGUCCUACAAACACACUUAGAACGAACAAAGUCUCUCUUUUUCUCAACCAUGAACGUAGUGUACCACAUGACUUGUUUGUAUGCGUAAGUCUAUUUGUACGAUUGUUGAGGAGAACGAUAUGAGUACGAACAUGAACAAAUAAAAAGAACAAACCCUUUACCAAAGGAUAGGAGGAUUGUCGAAAAGAGUUUAAAGUAAAUUAAAUCAAAGUUUAGUUUGGUCUCGAUUACGUAUUUACAGUAACCCACUCCAACGAUCCUUCUAAACGUAAUCUCUUACGAAACAACCUUUUCGAAGAUAACCAUAAUAAUUGUUGUUUUGAGAGCCACCUGUAUCUGGCAUUUAGAACUCUGAUAAAAGUGGUAAAAAACGGGAAACCACAAACCUUUAAGAUUUAAAACAACUAAAGUUGAACUACUUAUAUUUCUAUAUACGGUACUCAAAAUCUAAUAUAGAGACGACAACAUUAAAGAACAACCACAAAUAAUCAUCUAUAUGUACAUACUCAAGUGAGGACUGAUAACAUUAUUUCAAAAAAUCCUAAACCUUCAUAGAUCAGACCUAACCGUCACAUUUUUGGUAUAUAUUUUACAGAACUACGUACGAUCGUCUUUAUACUUUUAUUUGAGUCGUGUCAAGGAUAUAAAAUAAGUUCAAGUUUCGAUUUGUAAAGAUUGUCGAAUAGCGAGGAACAUCCUAUGUGUGAUAAGUAGCGUAAACAGUAGCUCGCUAACGUGGUGAUAGAAGUCUUCGAGUAGUGGGACUCCUUUAGUCGGUUGUGGAGGGUCUCUCCUCGAACUUUAAAAGGUUUACCUCAAGUUUGCACUUAAACUCUUUUACUAAGGAGCCGAUUCAAGCUUUUUACAGUAAGACACUUCAAGCCGAUAAGUCGGUACCUGAUCAGUUACCACCUCAACGUUAAAACAAAGAAGACAUGUAUGUACUUAACUUACAUUAGUUGCCUUUCUUUGUAUACAACUAAGAGGUUCAAUCUCAAGUAAAAAUAAAAGAAUGUUCAUCGUUUUGAAGGACACAUCUAGUCAUGUCGAAGACACGCUAGAACACAAUGUUUAGAACAUCAUGACAAAAAUGUCCCUAGAAAGAUCAUGAAACAUUUCGUUCGCACUAGGUAAACAUUUUUAUACCGUUUUCUGUAGGAAGUGAGAACGUCAGAAAACGAUUUUUUUUACAAAAUUCAAGUUACCUACGGUAGCUCUUU
rnacentral:rRNA from 1 species